GAAAGCAGGGGAGGUGAUCGCAAUUGAACUUCAGCAAAAAGCUGAAGAAUUCUAUUGAGGAAAGUCCGGGCUCCUAUUUGGCCAGGCUUGCUGGGUAAUUCCCAGUGCGGGUGACCGUGAGGAUAGUGCCACAGAAACACACCGCCUAAUGCUUAAUGGGGAAAUCCCAACAAGCGCGGCAAGGGUGCAAAGGUGCGGUAAGAGCGCACCAGCAGCAUCGAGAGGUGCUGGCUAGGUAAACCCCGGCCAGGAGCAAGGCGAGGGGCACUGGAUGGCCAUAGACCUUGUCCCUGUAGAGGAGCCGCUUGAGGCUAGCGGUAACGUUAGUCCCAGAUAGAUGAUUACCCAUUCCCUUUCUAAAGAAAGAGGAAUGAACAGAACCCGGCUUAUGACCUGCUUUCACUU
rnacentral:RNase_P_RNA from 1 species